rnacentral:tRNA from 1 species
AAGAUACUAGUAAAACAGAUAUUACACUGCUUUGUCAAGGCAGAAUUGUGGGCUAAAUUCCCGCGUAUCUUG